rnacentral:rRNA from 1 species
UACGUAGGGGGCUAGCGUUAUCCGGAUGUAUUGGGCGUAAAGAGCGUGUAGGCGGCCAGGUAGGUCUGCUGUGAAAACUCGAGGCUCAACCUCGAGACGUCGGCGGAAACCAUCUGGCUAGAGUCCGGAAGAGGAGAGUGGAAUUCCUGGUGUAGCGGUGAAAUGCGCAGAUAUCAGGAAGAACACCCGUGGCGAAGGCGGCUCUCUGGGACGGUACUGACGCUGAGACGCGAAAGCGUGGGGAGCGAACAGG